GAGUAAAUGAUAUGGGACUAUUGUUACUGUUUGCCAUUCAUGGGGGUGUGGAGAAGCUCCAGUCAUGCCUGUUCCUGGCACUCGCAAAUUUCUGGGAAAAUUCCUGUUUUCAUCCCUCUGUAUUUCUACAUCACCACCAGGUAGAAUUCAUCCUGCUGAAAAGGUCUGAGCCUUCAUUUCUUUGGAGAUCCUCUAAAAAACAACUGCUUAUCACCAGGCUCCAAGACACCCGUAGGAACAGAGGUGGGUGGAUGGCCACAAGGCUAAAAGCAGCAGCUGUCCAGAUUCUUGGCCUUUCAUUCCAGAUGACCCUGAACAUAGCUGGAUGAGAAGAAUCCUGGAGAACUG